rnacentral:misc_RNA from 1 species
GAUGAAGAACGCAGCGAAAUGCGAUAAGUAAUGUGAAUUGCAGAAUUCAGUGAAUCAUCGAAUCUUUGAACGCACAUUGCGCCCGCCAGUAUUCUGGCGGGCAUGCCUGUUCGAGCGUCAUUACAACCCUCAGGCCCCCGGGCCUGGCGUUGGGGAUCGGCAGAAGCCCCCUGUGGGCACACGCCGUCCCUCAAAUACAGUGGCGGUCCCGCCGCAGCUUCCAUUGCGUAGUAGCUAACACCUCGCAACUGGAGAGCGGCGCGGCCACGCCGUAAAACACCCAACUUCUGAAUGUUGACCUCGAAUCAGGUAGGAAUACCCGCUGAACUUAAGCAUAUCAAUAAGCGGAGGA